CAAAAACAUGUCUUUUUGAAUUAUAUAUAAAGUCUAACCUGCCCACUGAAAUUUGAAUGGCCGCAGUACACUAACUGUGCAAAGGUAGCAUAAUAAUUAGUCUUUUAAUUGAAGGCUGGAAUGAAUGGUUGGACGAAAUAUUAACUGUUUCAUUAAAAAUUUUUAUAGAAUUUUAUCUUUUAGUCAAAAAGCUAAAAUAAAAUUAAAAGACGAGAAGACCCUAUAAAGCUUUAUAACUAAUUCAAAUUGAGCUAUUUAGAUGGUUAAAGUUUUCUUUCUGUUAGUUAUUUUAUUGGGGUGAUAUUGAAAUUUAACUAACUUUCAUUUGUUUAACCAUUGAUGUAUGAGCUAUUGAUCCAUUUUAAUGAUUAUAAAUUUAAGUUACUUUAGGGAUAACAGCGUAAUUUUUUUGGAGAGUUCAUAUCGAUAGAAAAGAUUGCGACCUCGAUGUUGGAUUAAGGAAUAAGUUUAGGCGCAGCCGUUUAAAUAGUAAGUCUGUUCGACUUUUAAAC
rnacentral:rRNA from 1 species